rnacentral:rRNA from 1 species
GAAUGCUGACAUAAGUAACGAUAAAGCGGGUGAAAAGCCCGCUCGCCGGAAGACCAAGGGUUCCUGUCCAACGUUAAUCGGGGCAGGGUGAGUCGACCCCUAAGGCGAGGCCGAAAGGCGUAGUCGAUGGGAAACAGGUUAAUAUUCCUGUACUUGGUGUUACUGCGAAGGGGGGACGGAGAAGGCUAUGUUGGCCGGGCGACGGUUGUCCCGGUUUAAGCGUGUAGGCUGGUUUUCCAGGCAAAUCCGGAAAAUCAAGGCUGAGGCGUGAUGACGAGGCACUACGGUGCUGAAGCGACAAAUGCCCUGCUUCCAGGAAAAGCCUCUAAGCAUCAGGUAACAUCAAAUCGUACCCCAAACCGACACAGGUGGUCAGGUAGAGAAUACCAAGGCGCUUGAGAGAACUCGGGUGAAGGAACUAGGCAAAAUGGUGCCGUAACUUCGGGAGAAGGCACGCUGAUAUGUAGGUGAAGCGACUUGCUCGUGGAGCUGAAAUCAGUCGAAGAUACCAGCUGGCUGCAACUGUUUAUUAAAAACACAGCACUGUGCAAACACGAAAGUGGACGUAUACGGUGUGACGCCUGCCCGGUGCCGGAAGGUUAAUUGAUGGGGUUAGCGGUAACGCGAAGCUCUUGAUCGAAGCCCCGGUAAACGGCGGCCGUAACUAUAACGGUCCUAAGGUAGCGAAAUUCCUUGUCGGGUAAGUUCCGACCUGCACGAAUGGCGUAAUGAUGGCCAGGCUGUCUCCACCCGAGACUCAGUGAAAUUGAACUCGCUGUGAAGAUGCAGUGUACCCGCGGCAAGACGGAAAGACCCCGUGAACCUUUACUAUAGCUUGACACUGAACAUUGAGCCUUGAUGUGUAGGAUAGGUGGGAGGCUUUGAAGUGUGGACGCCAGUCUGCAUGGAGCCGACCUUGAAAUACCACCCUUUAAUGUUUGAUGUUCUAACGUGGGCCCCUUACCGGGGUUGCGGACAGUGUCUGGUGGGUAGUUUGACUGGGGCGGUCUCCUCCUAAAGAGUAACGGAGGAGCACGAAGGUUGGCUAAUCCUGGUCGGACAUCAGGAGGUUAGUGCAAUGGCAUAAGCCAGCUUGACUGCGAGCGUGACGGCGCGAGCAGGUGCGAAAGCAGGUCAUAGUGAUCCGGUGGUUCUGAAUGGAAGGGCCAUCGCUCAACGGAUAAAAGGUACUCCGGGGAUAACAGGCUGAUACCGCCCAAGAGUUCAUAUCGACGGCGGUGUUUGGCACCUCGAUGUCGGCUCAUCACAUCCUGGGGCUGAAGUAGGUCCCAAGGGUAUGGCUGUUCGCCAUUUAAAGUGGUACGCGAGCUGGGUUUAGAACGUCGUGAGACAGUUCGGUCCCUAUCUGCCGUGGGCGCUGGAGAACUGAGGGGGGCUGCUCCUAGUACGAGAGGACCGGAGUGGACGCAUCACUGGUGUUCGGGUUGUCAUGCCAAUGG